CAUGAAGCUGGAAUUGCUGUAAUGGCAGGUCAGCAUACUGCCGUGAAUACGUUCCCGGGGCCCUUGUACACACCGCCCGUCACACCAUGAGAGUUGGAAAUACCCGAAGCCUGUGAGCUAACUUAAAGAGGCAGCAGUCGAAGGUAGAGCCAAUGACUGGGGUGAAGUCGUAACAAGGUAGC
rnacentral:rRNA from 1 species